GAGGAGGACGGAGAUGUUCUAGUACAAUAAU
rnacentral:misc_RNA from 1 species